rnacentral:rRNA from 1 species
AUUGAACGCUAGCGGGAUGCCUUACACAUGCAAGUCGAACGGAGUGGCGAACGGGUGAGUAAUGUAUCGGAACGUGCCCAGUAGCGGGGGAUAACUACGAGAAAGCGUAGCUAUUACCGCAUACUUUUGGAGCGGCCGAUAGCGGACUAGCUAGUUGUUGGGGUAACGGCUCACCAAGGCGACGAUCCGUAGCUGGGUUGAGAGGACGACCAGCCACACUGGGACUGAGAAACGGCCCAGACUCCUACGGGAGGCAGCAGUGGGGAAUGUUGGGCAAUGGGGGAAACCCUGAUCCAGCCAUCCCGCGUGUGCGAUGAAGGCCUUCGGGUUGUAAAGCACUUUUGGCAGGGAAGCGGUACCUACAGAAAAAGCAACGGCUAACUACGUGCCAGCAGCCGCGGUAAUAC